rnacentral:rRNA from 1 species
AAUCAACGCUGGCGGCGUGCCUAACACAUGCAAGUCGAACGAGAAAGGGGAGCAAUCCCUGAGUACAGUGGCGCACGGGUGAGUAACACGUGACUAACCUACCCUGGAGUGGGGAAUAACUGAGGGAAACCUUAGCUAAUACCGCAUAAUACCUACGGGUCAAAGGAGCAAUUCGCUUCAGGAGGGGGUCGCGGCCGAUUAGCUAGUUGGCGGGGUAAUGGCCCACCAAGGCAAUGAUCGGUAUCCGGCCUGAGAGGGCGCACGGACACACUGGAACUGAAACACGGUCCAGACUCCUACGGGAGGCAGCAGUGGGGAAUUUUGCGCAAUGGGGGAAACCCUGACGCAGCAACGCCGCGUGGAGGAUGAAAUCCCUUGGGAUGUAAACUCCUUUCGAUCGGGACGACUAUGACGGUACCGGAAGAAGAAGCCCCGGCUAACUUCGUGCCAGCAGCCGCGGUAAUACGAGGGGGGCAAGCGUUGUUCGGAAUUAUUGGGCGUAAAGGGAGCGUAGGCGGUUUUGUAAGUCGUGUGUGAAAUCUUCGGGCUCAACCCGAAGUCUGCACACGAAACUGCAG